rnacentral:rRNA from 1 species
GAUGAACGCUGGCGGCGUGCCUAAUACAUGCAAGUCGAGCGAACAGACGAGGAGCUUGCUCCUCUGACGUUAGCGGCGGACGGGUGAGUAACACGUGGAUAACCUACCUAUAAGACUGGGAUAACUUCGGGAAACCGGAGCUAAUACCGGAUAAUAUAUUGAACCGCAUGGUUCAAUAGUGAAAGACGGUUUUGCUGUCACUUAUAGAUGGAUCCGCGCCGCAUUAGCUAGUUGGUAAGGUAACGGCUUACCAAGGCGACGAUGCGUAGCCGACCUGAGGGGGGGAUAGGCCACAGUGGAAAGACAAACCGUUCCAGCCUCAGGGGGGGGGCGACAGGAGGAAGUCUCCCGCAGGGGGCGAAGGCUGGACGGAAAAGCGCGGGGGGAGUGAUGAGGGUCUUCGGAUCAAAAAACUGUGUUAUGGGGGAAAAAAAAAUGGAAAAGUACCUAUGCCCGUCUGGAGGUUCCCUAAUAAGAAGCCCCCGCCAAACUACGGC